UAGCUCUGGCAACUCACAUACUAAAACUGGAGUGAUACAGAGAAGGUUAGAGUAGACCCUAUGCAAGAAUGACACACAGAUUUGUGAAGCAUUCUGUAUUUUU